GGACCGCAGGCCGCUGAAAUCUUCUUUAUUUCUGUGUUUUCUAAAAAAUGUUGGAGCCGGUUCCGGCGGGCCCGGAGGGCCGCGGGGACCCCGGUGAGCCGCUCCCCGCCGCCGGCUCCUUCCCGCCGCUGCGCCUGGAGGGGGAAGAGGGGACCAAGAGGGACGUCGUCGGGGCGGGCCCUGCCCCUCGGCUCUUUAGCGUGAGGUAACUGAGGCCCAGAGAAGUGAAGCGACUUGCCCCACGUCACACGGCUGACAAUUGGCAAGUGAGGAGUAGAACCACAAACCAGUGUCCGACUGGACCUCCUUUUGAUGACUCACCGCAACAGCUCUGAAGACUUUAGCGCUCAAUAAAUAAGACAAUGAAUGAAAGACUUGUGGACUAAUCCACGUAGGCUAUGGGAUGUGUAAUUUGAAAUUAUUGUACAUUAGUUUAAUACCAUUAUUUGAAUGAUUUGUUUGCUGAGAUACUUUGGGGUGAAAACUUGAGUCAGGGGGGAGUGGAGUUGUUGCUGAUGAGGCAGGAUCGGAUGUCUCCUUAUGGAACAUGGGCCUGGUAACGGUUUGAAAAUUCUUACAAUUUUUUUCUGUCAACAUAACUAUUCCUUCUCUUU